rnacentral:lncRNA from 1 species
AUCAAUCACACUGCUGUGGUCACAGACUCUUGGACUAGGCCUCUCAAAUUUUAUAAGACUACUACUCUCUAUUAAGGUUGAUAGAUCCUAUCUUGAUGCACACCCUACCUCUACAGUGGAUCAACUAUCACCAAUAUCCACUACAAAGUCUCAUUGAGAUCCAUGUUUAUGUAUCAGUCAAACUCCAGCAGCCCACUAUGAGUA